rnacentral:lncRNA from 1 species
CUGCCCCUUACAGAUGACAGUGUCGUGUUGCUGUAGAAGCGCUGUGGGGACGCCCACACUGGGAGCUGCCUACAGAUCCACAAUGGAAAUAUCCAGCUGUGGAGACAACCUUGGAGCUCCUGGAUCCAUUGGCUAGAGCUGACUGGAAGUAAGAGAAGCAUUCUGUAUCUAUACCCUCUCAGGGAAGAUAACCAAGAAGAAGAGGAGACCCAGUCCUAGCCUGGCUUGCCAAAAUACAUGGACCUCAAUGAAAUCAUUUGGACAGUGCAGAGCUGAGGUAAAAUAUGAACUCCUACAUUGGCAGACCCUAAAGAUGCUUCAUCUUCUGAUGUUUACGUCUUAACCUCAUGGAAGUGUAGGACCACAGUGUAAAAGGGUACUGCCAUUUGUCUCUGUCAACAUGAGUUUGAGUUUC